CGUGGCCAACCUACCCCGGCGUGGGGGAUACCCACCAGAAAUGGUGGCUAAUACCGCGUACGGUCCCAUGAUGACAGGUUGUGGGAAGAAAGCAGUGAUGCGCGCUGGGAGGGGGCUGCGGCCGAUUAUGCUUGUUGGUGUGGGUAAUGGCUCACCAAGGCGAUGAUCGGUAGCGGGUCUGAGAGGAUGAUCCGCCACACGGGGACUGAGAGACGGCCCCG
rnacentral:rRNA from 1 species